GCCUGAUGCAGCAACGCCGUGUGAGUGAAGAAGGUUUUCGGAUCGGUAAAACUCUGUCCUAAGGGAAGAAACAAAUGACGGUACCUUAGGAGGAAGCCCCGGCUAACUACGUGCCAGCAGCCGCGGUAAUACGUAGGGGGCAAGCGUUAUCCGGAAUCACUGGGCGUAAAGGGUGCGUAGGCGGCUUAGCAAGCCAGGGGUGAAAGGCAUUGGCUCAACCAAAUGUAAGCCUUUGUAAACUAGUUAAGCUUGAGUGCAGGAGAGGUAAGUGGAAUUCCUAGUGUAGAGGUGAAAUUCGUAGAUAUUAGGAGGAACACCAGUGGCGAAGGCGACUUACUGGACUGUAACUGACGCUGAUGCACGAAAGCGUGGGUAGCGAACAGGAUUAGAUACCCCUGGUAG
rnacentral:rRNA from 1 species